UAUAUUGUGUUGCGGACAGACUUGACAACGACGACCAAGCUGGUCGUGGUGAGCGGAUCCUCCCAAUUUUCGUGUAGGCGGGAGAAUAUUAUAUCACGGACCUAAAACCUAACACAGCCUGGCAAUUCCACAGGGGGACCGUAAUGUACGCGUACCCUGGCAAUGCCGAAACCCAUGCAGAACAUAACCUUGGUGGUGGUUACGCAUUCUGACAUUUGCCGUAAACUUUUACAAACGAAUUGUCUGAGUUGUUACAUGCGUACAACGAUCCUGUGCACCUCUGUGUUGUACGGCGACGGCGGUGAUGACGGCACGGCUGUACGACACAACAGUUCGAGCGCCGUGUUCCAUACUGUGACGUUCAGCCACAGUUCCAGACCCGACCCAAACGAACACAGAUGGCAAGGGCCGAGAUCCGGGGAGAAGCGGUAGUAAUGGCAAGCCUAUCAUGCCAUAGCACCCGUCAUCGACAUAAGCACUAUCGCAAGUUCUAACGGUCAACCACCUACUACGGUUGGGACCUGUUCGCGCGAUCUCGUUGCGCGACAGUUACGAAUAAUUGCCCCUGUUAUAAGUCGUGAUGUCGUGUAGUGGUUUGCGCUAACAGCGGAAGUUGGCGCGCAUUUAUAUGCUAUGAGGAUAGUAGGCAUAAGGCCCCUUAUCCUUACCACCUCCAAGGUGUACGUCUGGCACGCCAGAAGUGGGUCGGAGCGUUGGCCAACACACAAUCAACUUUCGAACAUCCAGCGUAAAAGCCAGUCGAACGCCGGUCGCAAAAGCAUUUUCAUGAGAAAUCAUCCAAAGUUCCGGUUACAAAAGGGUACCUGCAAGCAAUAGAAAUAAGUCUUCCUUCGGUAGGUCGUAUAUGCCGGGUGGAGGCUCCAGCUACCGGGAAGCUAUCCACUAGGCCUGGACAUCUAAUGCCUCACCUAAUGCAGCGACACCCGAAUGCAGCUACGAAAGCCGAAAAAUACUCUAGCACACCAGAACGACCUCCUGAACUGGCCGGCAUUACAUGCCGUACCAACGCGUACAACCAACUCUUUUUCUGAGUUUACAGAAAACCUCGGUUUUCUCUAUCGUCACUCUCAGAAGACCGUCAGUUUACUGGGUACCUAGGUCUCACACGCACCUGCCCAGGCUAUAGAUCACUUCUGGCCAUUCUUUAGGAGCCAGUAGGCCCCGCGGCUGGGCACUGUAAAGGACUUCAAACCUUAUCAUCGCCGGCUGAGGAGCAGCCGAGCCCAAGCAGGGACGAGAGCGAGUAGAGCUUUUCACCCGGCAAUCCACACGUCCUAUCAGCAGGUAUCCUGUCUCUGGCUACUAAGGGUAUUAUGAGCAUUUGACACCGUCACCGACACCGACAAUUAGUUCAUGCCAGCUGUACCGCUGCGACAAGGUCCAAUCCUUCGCGUCGUAGCGGUAGAGCUGGCGGGAGCGGGAGGCGUGAAAACUUUUGGGCCAUGGGCAGGUGGGUAAAGGAAUAUGCAUGUAUGGAUACGUAGCUGAUAGAUAGCCAGCGAACAAUACGCAAUCGCAAGCCCUAUGCUUGCAUGCAGGUGUUAAAUCGGGACCUAGGUAAAAUUAGUUUGAGACAUAAAAGCAUGGACACCUGUUUCGGCUGAGAAAAUUUCUGACUUGCACCUGGUUGGCGACUGGAUUGUUAGGUCUGAUUGAUAACAGGUGGCUUGUGAAAGUGGAGAGGAGGUGGGAAAGCGGUGGAGGAGAGUGGUUUGAAAGGUGGAGAGCAGGUGAUUCUGGUCCCGGCCGGUCAGGGUCAGGAGGGGAGGGAUUUCGGUGUGGUAAGCGGGAGCAGGCAGCGUCUGUGAGCCGUGCCUUUCUCGGGCUUUGUAGGGGGGCGCCGUGCUGGCUUGUCAUCCCCCCCGCGGCAAUAGGUGUUUUUGCUGUGUCUUGCGCUGGGCUGCACCCGGGAGCCCGCAACCCCCCAAGGAGGAGACUGACUUGCGGACCAAUUUUGCCUCGUUUGUGACUGGACCGGCGAGGUAGUGGUGGCCGCCCUCGGGAAGUGCUCGUUGUUCGUUGCUCGUGGUAGUUGAACAGCUGGCCUUCAAGGACCAGUGUGCGAGUACUCGCUUUGUGUUGGUCUUCUCUGUGCGACCGUAUCUCAGCUUUUGUGGUGUGUCG
rnacentral:lncRNA from 1 species